UACAUAGGGGGCAAGCGUUGUUCGGAAUUACUGGGCGUAAAGGGCGCGUAGGCGGCCUUCUAAGUCGAACGCGAAAUCCCCGGGCUCAACCCGGGAACUGCGUCCGAUACUGGAAGGCUUGAAUCCGGGAGAGGGAUGUGGAAUUCCAGGUGUAGCGGUGAAAUGCGUAGAUAUCUGGAGGAACACCGGUGGCGAAGGCGACAUCCUGGACCGGUAUUGACGCUGAGGCGCGAAAGCCAGGGGAGCAAACGGG
rnacentral:rRNA from 1 species